CCCCUGCAAACCGACCAGUUUGUUUUUACACCCAUCUAAAGGAUCUCGGACCCAUUUGCGCUUGCGGCUCUACACGAAGGCGGUAGCUUGUCUUAACACGAAGAAGUAUGACAGACGACAUACGAGUCAGCUUAGAGAGCGUUGACUGU